rnacentral:rRNA from 1 species
GACGAACGCUGGCGGCGUGCUUAACACAUGCAAGUCGAGCGGUAAGGCCCUUUCGGGGGUACACGAGCGGCGAACGGGUGAGUAACACGUGGGUGACCUGCCCUCAGCUCUGGGAUAAGCCUGGGAAACCGGGUCUAAUACCGGAUAUGACUCCAUGACGCAUGUUGUGGGGUGGAAAGCCUUGUGCGGCUGAGGAUGGGCCCGCGGCCUAUCAGCUUGUUGGUGGGGUGAGGCCUACCAAGGCGACGACGGGUAGCCGGCCUGAGAGGGCGACCGGCCACACUGGGACUGAGACACGGCCCAGACUCCUACGGGAGGCAGCAGUGGGGAAUCUUGCGCAAUGGGCGAAAGCCUGACGCAGCGACGCCGCGUGAGGGAUGACGGCCUGGUGUAAC